rnacentral:rRNA from 1 species
UACGGAGGAUCCGAGCGUUAUCCGGAUUUAUUGGGUUUAAAGGGUGCGCAGGCGGGAGAUUAAGUCGGUGGUGAAAUUUUGCAGCUCAACUGUAAAAGUGCCAUUGAUACUGGUUUUCUUGAGUGUAGAUGAAGUAGGCGGAAUUUGUGGUGUAGCGGUGAAAUGCAUAGAUAUCACGAGGAACUCCGAUUGCGCAGGCAGCUUACUAAACUAUAACUGACGCUCAGGCACGAAGGCGUGGGGAUCAAACAGGAUUAGA